AAUUAUAUAAUAUAAUUUAAUAUAGUUAAUUUCCAAUUAAAAAAUUUAAUUUAAAAUUAAUAUAAUUA
rnacentral:tRNA from 1 species